rnacentral:rRNA from 1 species
UUUUCAGUGUCGCAGCGAAAGCGAUAAACACACCGCCUGGGGAGUACGACCGCAAGGUUAAAACUCAAAUGAAUUGACGGGGACCCGCACAAGUAGUGGAGCAUGUGGUUUAAUUCGAAGAUACGCGCAGAACCUUACCAACACUUGACAUGUUCGUCGCGACUCUAAGAGAUUAGAGUUUUCGGUUCGGCCGGACGAAACACAGGUGCUGCAUGGCUGUCGUCAGCUCGUGUCGUGAGAUGUUGGGUUAAGUCCCGCAACGAGCGCAACCCUCACUUUUAGUUGCCAUCAUUAAGUUGGGCACUCUGAAAGAACUGCCAGUGAUAAGCUGGAGGAAGGUGGGGAUGACGUCAAGUCCUCAUGGCCCUUACGUGUUGGGCUACACACGUGCUACAAUGGUAUCUACAACAGGAAGCAAAACGGCAACGUUAAGCAAAUCCCUAAAAGAUACCUCAGUUCGGAUUGCACUCUGCAACUCGAGUGCAUGAAGCUGGAAUUACUAGUAAUCGUGGAUCAGCGUGCCACGGUGAAUGCGUUCCCGGGUCUUGUACACACCGCCCGUCACACCAUGGGAGUUGGUUCUACCUUAAGGCAAGGUUUUAAACCCUUGACCACGGUAUAGUCAGCGACUGGGGUGAAGUCGUAACAAGGUAGCCGUAGGGGAACCUGCGGCUGGAUUACCUCCUU